rnacentral:tRNA from 1 species
GGGGCUGUAGCUCAGAGGACAGAGCAGGUCCGUCCUAAGGACUUGGUCGUGGGUUCGACUCCCACCAGCCCCU